GGUGGGUGCGGCAACACUGCUCAUGUUUUUUUUUGUUUUUUUUCCAACAUUGAUUGACAUAAUUCGUAGUUUCCCGAUUCACGGGUUCAAUUAUCUUGUGCUGCCUGCUUGUCAGUGUUAUGACGUAACCUUUUACUAUAGCUAAAGUGUGAUCGCAGUUAGUAUUAUAUACCAGUGGUAUGGAGAGACACUCUCCAUACCCGUGGUUAUACGUUUGCGCGCUUUUGGAGUUCAGACCCUUCCAAUAGUUUUAUUGUCCGCUUUCGAACCCUGUCCAUUUUUUUUUAGCUUCAAUUGCGAAACGUUUCAGAGAAUUUUUUUUUCCCUUUUUUCUUUUGCUAUUUUUUCCCUAUAGUUGUGGGAGAAACUUAUCUGGACUUAAGAGUGGUAAUAGGUAGUCAAAUGUAGCCAUGGCAACUACGAGAGAACUAAACUUGAUUAUACCACACUUCAACUUCCUUAAUCAAAGCGCCGAGAGAAUUUCAUAAAAAGGACAUUUUCGUGUAUCCAAUAAAGCGGCACAAGGGCAGUACCCUCGAGUAAAAUUUCUGAGUCGCAGAUUGCGAUUUAAUAACGCCCAAAAGUGAUUAAACGAGACUCUCGGCUGGAUUUGAGUUGCGUCCGAGGUUCGUCUCUUUAAUCAAUAACUGUGAGUUAAUAAUCGCCAUCGGCAUCCACAGGAAAUGUCCUCAUCUUCUCCUCUAUCUGAACUA